rnacentral:rRNA from 1 species
UACGGAGGGUGCGAGCGUUGUCCGGAAUCACUGGGCGUAAAGGGCGCGUAGGUGGCCUGUGGAAGUCUGCGGUGAAAGCCCGGCGCUCAACGCCGGGUCGGCCGUGGAUACUCUCGGGCUUGAGCUUACUAGAGGCAGAUGGAAUUCCGGGUGUAGCGGUGGAAUGCGUAGAGAUCCGGAAGAACACCGGUGGCGAAGGCGGCAUCCUGGACCGGCAUUGACGCUGAGGCGCGAAAGCCAGGGGAGCAAAGCGGG